rnacentral:rRNA from 1 species
AUUGAACGCUGGCGGCAUGCUUUACACAUGCAAGUCGGACGAGUGGCGAACGGGUGAGUAAUGCUUGGGAAUCUGGCUUAUGGAGGGGGAUAACGACGGGAAACUGUCGCUAAUACCGCGUACCAUAGGAUGAGCCCAAGUGGGAUUAGCUGGUUGGCGGGGUAAAGGCCCACCAAGGCGACGAUCAGUAGCGGGUCUGAGAGGAUGAUCCGCCACACUGGGACUGAGACACGGCCCAGACUCCUACGGGAGGCAGCAGUGGGGAAUUUUGGACAAUGGGCGCAAGCCUGAUCCAGCCAUGCCGCGUGUCUGAAGAAGGCCUUCGGGUUGUAAAGGACUUUUGUCAGGGAAGCGGUACCUGAAGAAUAAGCACCGGCUAACUACGUGCCAGCAGCCGCGGUAAUAC